rnacentral:rRNA from 1 species
AACCUACCUAUCAGGAGGGGAAUAACCCGGCGAAAGUCGGACUAAUACCGCAUAAAACAGGGGCACCGCAUGGUGAUAUUUGUUAAAGAAAUUCGCUGAUAGAUGGGCAUGCGUUCCAUUAGGUAGUUGGUGAGGUAACGGCUCACCAAGCCGACGAUGGAUAGGGGAACUGAGAGGUUGGUCCCCCACACUGGUACUGAGACACGGACCAGACUCCUACGGGAGGCAGCAGUGAGGAAUAUUGGUCAAGUGGGGCGGGAGCCUGAACCAGCCAAGUCGCGUAGAAGGAAGAAGGAUCUAUGGUUACGUAAACUUCCUUGCGAGGGGAAUAAAGUGCAGGACGUGUCCUGUUUUGUAUGUACCCUGAGAAUAAGGAUCGGCUAACUCCGUGCCAGCAGCCGC